rnacentral:rRNA from 1 species
CAAUAGCGUAUAUUAAAGUUGUUGCGGUUAAAAAGCUCGUAGUUGGUUCUCGGCAGGCAGGGGGUGGUUCGCUCUUAGCGCUACUGCCCCAUUUGCCUGUGUGGUUGGCGGAGGUUUCGGGGUGCUCUUCGUUGAGUGACCCGGGGCGCCGUCAGGUUUACUUUGAAAAAAUUAGAGUGCUCAAAGCAGGCUUUUCACGCUUGAAUAUUCGUGCAUGGAAUAAUGGAAUAGGAACUCGUUUCUAUUUUGUUGGUUUUCGGAAAUCGAGUUAAUGAUUAAUAGGGACAAUUGGGGGCAUCAGUAUUCAGACGACAGAGGUGAAAUUCUUGGACCGUCUGAGGACUAACUACUGCGAAAGCAUUUGCCAAGAGUGUUUUCAUUAA